GAUGAACGCUAGCGGCAGGCCUAAUACAUGCAAGUCGAACGGCCCCGACACUUCGGUGUCGGGGUAGUGGCGCACGGGUGCGUAACGCGUACACAACAUACCCUUUACAGGGGGAUAGCGGCGGGAAACUGCCAGUAAUACCCCAUGUCCUUGCGAGGUGGCAUCAUUUUGCAAAGAAAGUUCAAGCGGUAAAGGAUUGGUGUGCGUCCGAUUAGCUAGUUGGCGGGGUAACGGCCCACAAGGCGACGAUCGGUAGGGGGUGUGAGAGCAUGGCCCCCCANACGGGUACUGAGACACGGACCCGACUCCUACGGGAGGCAGCAGUAAGGAAUAUUGGUCAAUGGGCGAAAGCCUGAACCAGCCAUCCCGCGUGCAGGAUGAAGGUCCUAUGGAUUGUAAACUGCUUUUAGUCAGGGAAGAAACGCCUUCAUUCAUGAGGGUCUGACGGUACCUGAGGAAUAAGCACCGGCUAACUCCGUG
rnacentral:rRNA from 1 species